GACGAACGCUGGCGGCGUGCUUAACACAUGCAAGUCGAACGGUGAACCCGCUUCGGUGGGGGAGUCAGUGGCGAACGGGUAGAGUAACACGUGGGCGAACCUGCCCUCAGCUCUGGGAGUAACUCCAAGAAAUUAGGGGCGUAAUACCGGAUAUGACCGCUGACCGCAUGGUCUGGUGGUGGAAAGAUUUAUCGGCUGGGGAUGGGCCCGCGGCCUAUCAGCUUGUUGGUGGGGUAGUGGCCUACCAAGGCGACGACGGGUAGCCGGCCUGAGAGGGUGACCGGCCACACUGGGACUGAGACACGGCCCAGACUCCUACGGGAGGCAGCAGUGGGGAAUAUUGCGCAAUGGGCGAAAGCCUGACGCAGCGACG
rnacentral:rRNA from 1 species